GCUAGGUUCCGGAACCUGACCUGAGCUGGGGCCUGUGCUUCCAGCGGGUGGUGGGGGGCCUGGUGUGCUGGCAUCAAGUAAGCCGACUACCUCGGCAAAGGCUUAGGGACAAGAGACCAGCAGCCUGAACUGGCUGGGGCAUCCGGAAGGCUUAGAUCUUGUGGCCAAGAGUUCAGACCGUGGCGAAGUGGAGAGUGACAUGCAGUUGGAUGGCGGUGACUGCGUGGUCCUGCAACCCUGGUUCCAGUCUGGCAAGCAUUGUAGACCUGGCUGCUGAAGACUGACGGGGCCCAGGGUCCGCUGCCCCCACCGCCAUCACCACCUCGGAACCCAGGGUAACGCUGUCAGUCUUUGAUGAUGUCAGAAGUGGGAUCCAAAGUAGAGCUUAUAAUGACACCUAGGAGUGCUGAGUGACCAAGCAAGGUACCCACCAGGCCGAUUAUGUCCAUUGUUCUCUUGGAGCAGCUGGUCAUCAUGUGUCCUGCUCUGUCAUCCAGGUUGAAGUGCAGUGGGCGAUCAUGGCUCACGGCAGCCUCGACCUCCCAAGAUCAAGCAAUCCU
rnacentral:lncRNA from 1 species